GAUGAAGAACGUAGCGAAAUGCGAUAAGUAAUGUGAAUUGCAGAAUUCAGUGAAUCAUCGAAUCUUUGAACGCACAUUGCGCCCGCCAGUAUUCUGGCGGGCAUGCCUGUUCGAGCGUCAUUUCAACCAUCAAGCCCCAGGCUUGUGUUGGGGACCUGCGGCUGCCGCAGGCCCUGAAAACCAGUGGCGGGCUCGCUGUCACACCGGGCGUAGUAGAUUUUAUCUCGCUCAGGGCGUGCUGCGGGUCCCGGCCGUUAAAAGCCUAUUUUUACCCAAGGUUGACCUCGGAUCAGGUAGGAAGACCCGCUGAACUUAAGCAUAUCAAUAAGCGGAGGA
rnacentral:misc_RNA from 1 species